rnacentral:rRNA from 1 species
UACGGAGGGUGCAAGCGUUGUCCGGAAUCACUGGGCGUAAAGGGCGCGUAGGCGGCCUGGUAAGUAGGGGGUGAAAUCCUGCGGCUUAACCGCAGGGCUGCCUUCUAAACUGUCAGGCUUGGGCACGGUAGAGGCAGAUGGAAUUCCCGGUGUAGCGGUGGAAUGCGUAGAGAUCGGGAAGAACAUCAGUGGCGAAGGCGGUCUGCUGGGCCGUUGCUGACGCUGAGGCGCGACAGCGUGGGGAGCAAACAGG